rnacentral:rRNA from 1 species
CGGGUGAGUAAUGUCUGGGAAACUGCCCGAUGGAGGGGGAUAACUACUGGAAACGGUAGCUAAUACCGCAUAACGUCGCAAGACCAAAGAGGGGGACCUUCGGGCCUCUUGCCAUCGGAUGUGCUCAGAUGGGAUUAGCUAGUAGGUGGGGUAACGGCUCACCUAGGCGACGAUCCCUAGCUGGUCUGAGAGGAUGACCAGCCACACUGGAACUGAGACAUGGUCCAG